UGCGUAGGCGGAUUAAUAAGUCAGUGGUGAAAUCUCUCGGCUCAACCGGGAAACUGCCAUUGAUACUGUUAAUCUUGAGUUCGGUUGAGGUAGGCGGAAUGUGUAAUGUAGCGGUGAAAUGCUUAGAUAUUACACAGAACACCAAUUGCGUAGGCAGCUUACUAGACCGACACUGACGCUGAGGCACGAAAGUGUGGGGAGCGAACAGGAUUAGAUACCCUGGUAGUCC
rnacentral:rRNA from 1 species